UGAGGGACUUUGUGAAUUUAGGGAUUUUAUUAUAGCGGUGGCUGGCUGAUGAGCGACUUUGUGAAUUUAGGGUCUGUCUGUCAAUUUGGCGGGCUGUCCAUGGGCCAAGCGUCUUUCGCAGGUUUUUGGGCCCAAGCCUACUAAGUGCCAGGUCCAGCCCAUUAAGAUCCUAUAUCAAAGAUAGGGCACAAUUGUAGUAACCACCCUAAUUUCACAAAGUCUCUCA